UUUUUAAACCGACCGAACCGAAGAUUCCUUUUGACCAUUUCCAUCGUCAGGACUAAAGAAUCGCGACUUAAAUCGUCUGGAUCGCCGCUUUUUAUCCUGUCGUCAGUCAGUCUACUUACUAAGCUUCAGCACCUGCUGCAGUCUCCAUAGCACCAACUAAGUCUAGAGGCAGAGAGCUGAGUGGUCCCACAUCAACAGUGUCCAGAGGCAGUCCUGUAUAUGUGCAUGUCUCCUCGUUGCAUGCAGUAAUACAGCCAGCAACAACUUCUCCCCCUCCGGCUCCACUCCCUGGUGUGCCUGGCAAGUACAUAUACUGCCCGGCUAAGGUAUUUUCACAAUACCAAGCACAAGGCAUGGCAAGGAAGAUGACCUGGAGUGAGUUUCAGACCACUGCCUUUUAUGAAAAGGAGAAACAAAGAUCAAUUAUCUUGAUCAGCUGAGAGAGGAAAAUGAAGCACAAACGUAUGCACACACAGACAUGCGCAUGUACGCAC